CCGAGACAGCCGCUGUCCCUGUCCUCCAGGAGCUCACGUGUCCGGCUGUGAGCUCCCCGAGGGCAGAGCCCGUGUCUGCCUCCAUGCAGCACCC
rnacentral:pre_miRNA from 12 species